rnacentral:rRNA from 1 species
UAGGGAAUCUUCGGCAAUGGGGGCAACCCUGACCGAGCAACGCCGCGUGAGUGAAGAAGGUUUUCGGAUCGUAAAGCUCUGUUGUAAGUCAAGAACGAGUGUGAGAGUGGAAAGUUCACACUGUGACGGUAUCUUACCAGAAAGGGACGGCUAACUACGUGCCAGCAGCCGCGGUAAUACGUAGGUCCCGAGCGUUGUCCGGAUUUAUUGGGCGUAAAGCGAGCGCAGGCGGUUAGAUAAGUCUGAAGUUAAAGGCUGUGGCUUAACCAUAGUACGCUUUGGAAACUGUUUAACUUGAGUGCAAGAGGGGAGAGUGGAAUUCCAUGUGUAGCGGUGAAAUGCGUAGAUAUAUGGAGGAACACCGGUGGCGAAAGCGGCUCUCUGGCUUGUAACUGACGCUGAGGCUCGAAAGCGUGGGGAGCAAACAGGAUUAGAUACCCUGGUAGUCCACGCCGUAAACGAUGAGUGCUAGGUGUUAGACCCUUUCCGGGGUUUAGUGCCGCAGCUAACGCAUUAAGCACUCCGCCUGGGGAGUACGACCGCAAGGUUG